AUUGAACGCUGGCGGCAUGCCUUACACAUGCAAGUCGGACGGUAACGGGCCUUCGGGUGCCGACGAGUGGCGAACGGGUGAGUAAUGUAUCGGAACGUACCUUUCAGUGGGGGAUAACGUAGCGAAAGGUACGCUAAUACCGCCUAUUCUUUGAGCAGGAAAGCAGGGGAUCGCAAGACCUUGUGCUGAUUGAGCGGCCGAUAUCAGAUGAGCUAGUUGGUGAGGUAAAGGCUCACAAAGGCGACGAUCUGUAGCGGGUCUGAGAGGAUGAUACGCCACACUGGAACUGAGACACGGUCCAGACUCCUACGGGAGGCAGCAGUGGGGAAUGUUGGACAAUGGGGGCAACCCUGAUCCAGCCAUGCCGCGUGAGUGAAGAAGGCCUUCGGGUUGUAAAGCUCUUUCGGCCGGGAAGAAAUCGCACGGGCUAAUACCCUGUGUGGAUGACGGUACCGGAAUAAGAAGCACCGGCUAACUACGUGCCAGCCGCCGCGGUAACAC
rnacentral:rRNA from 1 species